rnacentral:rRNA from 1 species
UACGGGGGGUGCAAGCGUUGUUCGGAAUUAUUGGGCGUAAAGCGUGCGCAGGCGGCUUUGCAAGACAGAUGUGAAAUCCCCGGACUCAACCUGGGAACUGCAUUUGUGACUGCAAGGCUAGAGUAUGGUAGAGGGGGAUGGAAUUCCGCGUGUAGCAGUGAAAUGCGUAGAUAUGCGGAGGAACACCAAUGGCGAAGGCAAUCCCCUGGACCUGUACUGACGCUCAUGCACGAAAGCGUGGGGAGCAAACAGGAUUAGAAACCCUUGUAGU